GCAGAUGCUGCCCUUGCUCCCAAGCUGCUCCCAGCCUAACAGAGACAGAGGAACAGCAAGUGUCACCAGGGGCAGGGCCAGGGCUGUGGGAGCCCAGAGGAGUGCCUUACCCAACCCGAGUCGGUCCAAUAAGAAGUGGGAAGUGCCUGAAAAUAUUGGAAGAGCUCGCCAGGCUUUCCACGCCUCUCUGUGACACCCUCCUUUGAGCGCCUGCAUUCCUGGGAGUGAGAUGGUUGUCCGUGGUCUCUCCCCCACGACAAGAUGGAAGUUCUGCCCAGCUGUACGCUGGGGGUCUGAA
rnacentral:lncRNA from 10 species